rnacentral:lncRNA from 1 species
GCGGAAGUUGUAAAACGAAUAUGGACAGCGAUGAGGCAGAAACAACAAGCAGCUGAUGGAGUUUCUGUGAAUUAGCAAUAGUGGAUGAUGAUGUUUUGGUGAAGAAUUUGGUGGAUGAAGUGAGCUACGGUGAUGGUGAAGACUAGCUCAGAUGGCCUUCCAUUUGGAAGGAAGCUAGUUGAGAUGUAGAGAAGCUCAGGGAGGACUUUCGGCCAGAGUUUCAAGUGCUGAACAGUUUCAACAACAAAGAGAAAUCUCAUUACAUCCAAAAGUGAUUUACAAGCUUAGCCUAUGAGAUUUUAUAGAUCAAUCUCAAGGCCACACGUUUCAGAUCUCAUUCCAACUAAUUAGCCAUGUGCUAAAUGUGUGUGGCUUUUUUUUCUAGAAAGCUUUAUUAAACACAUGUAAAAUAUGCUAGGUGCCUAUGGAAAAGUAAACACUAAUGCCACCCCUUUUAUGAUAGGCACACCCCUCUUUAUGUAGAAUUGUCCAUUUUACCCUUCACCAUGCUCUUGGGGUUGUUCUUUAUUUGGUGGCCUUGGGCCCCGUGUAUCAGAAUGUAACUUUGCUUAAAUCACCAUAUACUCAAUUCAUCAAUUCAACGUCAAACCAACCAAUUUAAACAACACUUGAUCAUCCAUUUCAAACAAAAAAAAAUGGUUUUAGUAGCAAUUAAACUACCAAAGCUUCAAUUUCAUCCAUUUCAAACAACCAAAAACUAAAAUACUUU